UUCGAUUCUGGCUCAGGAUGAACGCUGGCGGCGUGCUUAACACAUGCAAGUCGAACGAGGCUAUACGGCGGAAGUUUCGGAUGGAAGCGGUAUAGACCGAGUGGCGGACGGGUGAGUAACGCGUGGGGAACCUGCCCCAUUCCGGGGGAUACAGUUGGAAACGACUGUUAAUACCGCAUAAGCGCACGGAAGGACAUCCUUCAGUGUGAAAAACUGAGGUGGAAUGGGGAUGGGCCCCCGCGUCUGAUUAGCCCAGUUGGCAGGGUAACGGCCUACCAAAGCGACGAUCAGUAGCCGGCCUGAGAGGGCGACCGGCCACAUUGGGACUGAGACACGGCCCAAACUCCUACGGGAGGCAGCAGUGGGGAAUAUUGCACAAUGGGGGAAACCCUGAUGCAGCGACGCCCGCGUGAGUGAAGAAGUAUUUCGGUAUGUAAAGCUCUAUCAGCAGGGAAGAAGAUGACGGUACCUGCACAAGAAGCCCCGGCUAACUACGUGCCAGCAGCUGC
rnacentral:rRNA from 1 species